rnacentral:tRNA from 1 species
GGGGUGUAGCCAAGGGGUUAAGGCAACGGACUUUGACUCCGUCACCGCUGGUUCAAAUCCAGCCAUCCC